AUGGCGGGGGUCAGCGCGGGGACGGGGGCGAUGAGCUCCCUCCUCGGCAAGCUCUCCGCCUUGCUCACCGACGAGUACAAGCUUCUCAAGGGCAUCCGCAAGGAGAUCCAGUUCCUGGAGCGCGAGCUUGGCAGGAUGCGAGCCUAUCUGCACAUACUGGCGGACAUGGACAAGCUCGACAACCUGACCAAGAAGCGGAGAGACAGCUUGCGCGACCUCAGCUAUGAGAUGGAGGACUGCAUCGACCGUUUCAUGGACCGGCUUGGCACCGGCGACGCCAGGCGAGGGUUCAUGAGGACGACCGCGCGCCGGCUCAGGACGAUUUGGGCGCGCCAUGACAUCGCGACCCUCAUCAGGGACCUCAAAGCUCGGGUCUUGCAGGAGACCGAGCUGCAUGACAGGUACAAGCUUGAUGAAGGUUAUUACAGUGCAACGAGGCCAGUUCAAAUAGAUCCCCGGAUGACCGUGCUCCACGAGGAGGUCAAGGGCUUGGUGGCCAUGGACGCCCCAGUGAAGCAUAUUUCUGCAUUGCUGAUGGAUCAGAGUAUGGAGCUGAAAGUGGUACCGAUUGUCGGGCCUAGAGGCUUGAGGAAGUCGACCCUUGCAAUGGAGGUCUAUCGCAAGAUUGGGAGGGACUUCCGUUGCCGAGCUUCCGUGUCAGUGUCACGCGCUCUUGAUCUGGAGAAGUUCCUCAAGGAUAUCUUGUCUCAAAUUGAUGAGUCUAGAGAAUGUUAG
rnacentral:rRNA from 1 species